rnacentral:rRNA from 1 species
AACUUUCAACAAUGGAUCUCUUGGUUCUGGCAUCGAUGAAGAACGCAGCGAAAUGCGAUAAGUAGUGUGAAUUGCAGACUUUAGUGAAUCAUCGAAUCUUUGAACGCACAUUGCGCCCCUUGGUAUUCCAUUGGGCAUGCCUGUUCGAGCGUCAUUUA